rnacentral:lncRNA from 1 species
AUGCGGGUGCCGGGCCGGGGUGCUGCGCCCCGUGCACCCGCCUCGCCGGGGCGAGCAACGUACCUGGUCCCUCACCAGCCCGUAGCAGGCAGGGCACUGGUGGCAGCGGGAGCUCGGCGGGUCGGGGAAGAAGUUGGCCUGGCACCGGUCGCACUUGUAGCCCACGAAGCCCGGGCGGCAGACGCAGGUGCUGUUCUCGUGGCACUGCGGCGUGACCGAGCCCAGCGGGGAGCAGUUGCAGGCUGCGGCGGAAAGGGGUCAGGGCGAGGGACCGGCGCGUGCCACGGCUGCCAGCCCCGCUCCGGGCACCCAGGUGCCGGCCCCAUGCCUGGUACCUCGGCAGCCGCCGGCAGAGAGGCCGAAGAAGCCGUGCUGGCAUYGGUCGCAGCGCGUCCCCUCGACGCCGGGCUGGCAGGAGCACUGCCCCGUGAGCGCGUGGCACCGGCUGUCCCGCGACCCCGACGGGUGGCACUYGCAGCUGGCACCGAGAGGCGGAGGGCGGUGAGCAGGGACCAGGCGACGAACGCAAAGAGCAGAGACCCGAGCCGGGGACGCAGACCCCCCCUCCCCACUGCACCCCGCCGGAGGCCCUGCCGUGCCCCGCCGCCGGCCCCGGGGAGGCCUCGUCCCGCCGUACCUCUCGCACCCCACGGCGGGCUGCAGGCGGUGGUAGCCCGGCUCGCAGAGGCCGCAGUCUCUGCCCGCCACGUGAGGGAGGCAGGGGCACUGGCCCGUGGCGGCGUCGCAGCCCUCCCGGCCCGGGGCCGAGCCCUCGGCGUUGCACUCRCACGCUGCGGGAGACAAAAUACUGCUGAUGUCCCAGCAGGGCUGCGACGGGACAGCGGGAGGGGGACACCGGGGUUCAGCCCCCCGAACUCCCGUCGGACGGGGCUAUAUCCAGGGAAGGAGGAUGGCAGCGGGGAGAGAAGGCAAAAGACUAUCCCUGAGCGCGCCCAGGAGCACCAUGCCAUGGGCGGACGGGUGCUCAGCCCCCCUGCUCAGCCCCUAAACCUGCCGGGCAUCGCCUGCCGCCAUCCGCCUCCCCUGCCGGGAGGAUUUUGGCUCCGAGGGGAGCAGGGGCAGAGCCCGGGGCUGCACGUACGCAUGCACUUCCCCGUGGGAGCGGGAGCCAGCGCGUCCCCGUAG